UGAGGCCACCGGAGGGGGUCGGGGGUAGCCUCGAGAACCGCCCACCCAGAAUUACGGGCGGCCGAGGGAGAGGUAACCCCGGGAGAGGGAAAAUGGGCUGAUCGAAGGAUAGGGGCACCUGUAAAAUAUUGGGGGAUAUAUGGAAGAAAUGGGUGCCAUUUGCGACAGGAAUGGGGACACUCUGACAGGAAAAGUCCAUUUCUAACAGGAAAGGGGGCACUGACAGGAAAUGGGGGCACUCUGACAGAAAGAGACCAUUUGUGACAGGAAAUGGGCGAUGUCGGAUAGGAAAAGGCCAUUAGUGAAAAAUGGGGGGCAGUAUCAGGUAGGAAAAGGCCAUUUGUGACAAAUGAGGGGCAGCAUCAGGUAGGAAAAGGCCAUUUGUGACAAAUGGGGGGCAGCGUCAGGUAGGAAAAGGCCAUUUGUGACAAAUGGGGGCAGCGUCAGGUAGGAAAAGGCCAUUAGUGAAAAAUGGGGGGCAGUAUCAGGUAGGAAAAAGGUCAUUUGUGAGGGGGGGACAGUAUCAGGUAGGAAAAGGCCAUUUGUGAUAGACAUGGGGGGCAGUGUCAUGUAGGAAAAGGCCAUUAGUGACAAAUGUGGGGCAGUGUCAGGUAGGAAAAGGCCAUUUGUUUUUGUUUUUUUAAUUUUAUUUUAUAAUAACUUUUUAUUGACAGAAUCCAUGCUUGGGUAAUUUUUUAUAUUAUCCCUUGCACUCGCUUCUUUCCCGAUUUUUCCCCUCCCUCCCUCCACCCCCUCCCCUAGAUGGCAAGCAGUCUUAUAUAUGUUAAAUGUGUUGCAGUAUAUCCUAGAUACGAUAUAUGUUUGUAGAACCAAACCGUUCUCUUGUUGCACAGGGAGAAUUGAAUUCAGAAGGUAAAAAUAACCCGGGAAAAAAAACAAAAAUUCACAAAGUUCACAUUCAUUUCCCAGUGUUCUUUCUUUGGGUGUAGCUGCUUCUGUCCAUCAUUGAUCAGUUGGACCUGAGUUAGAUCUUCUCUUUGUCAAAGAAAUCCACUUCCAUCAGAAUACAUCCUCAUACAGUAUCGUUGUUGAGGUGUAUAAUGAUCUUCUGGUUCUGCUCAUUUCACUCAGCAUCAGUUCAUGUAAGUCUUUCCAAGCCUCUCUGCAUUCAUCCUGCUGGUCAUUUCUUACAGAACAAUAAUAUUCCAUAACAUUCAUAUACCACAAUUUACCCAGCCAUUCUCCAAUGGAUUCAUUCCAUUCCAUUCAAUUUCCAGUUUCUAGCCACUACAAACAGGGCUGCCACAAACAUUCUGGCACAUACAGGUCCCUUUCCCUUCUUUAGUAUUUCUUUGGGAUAUAAGACCAGUAGUAACACUGCUGGAUCAAAGGCUAUGCACAGUUUGAUAACUUUUUGGACAUAAUUCCAGACUGCUCUCCAGAAUGGUUGGAUUCGUUCACAACACCAACAACAAUGCAUCAGUGUCCCAGUUUUCCUGCAUCCCCUCCAACAUUCAUCAUUAUUUUUUCCUGUCAUCUUAGCCAAUCUGACAGGUGUAUAGUGAUAUCUCACAGUUGCCUUAAUUUGCACUUCUCUAAUCAAUAAUGAUUUGGAACACUCUUUCAUAUGAGUGGUAAUAAUUUCAAUUUCAUCAUCUGAAAAUUGUCUGUUCAUAUCCUUUGACCAUUUAGCAAUUGGAGAAUGGCUUGAUUUCUUAAAAAUUUGAGUCACUUCUCUAUAUAUUUUGGAAAUAAGGCCUGGAAAAGACCAUUUGUGAUAGACAAAGGGGGCAGUGUCAAGUAGGAAAAGUCCAUUAGUGACAAAUGAGGGGCAGUGUCAGGUAGGAAAAGUCCAUUAGUGACAAAUGGGGGGCAGUGUCAGGUAGGAAAAACUCAUUUGUGAAAGACAUGGGGGGCAGUGUCAGGUAGGAAAAGGCCAUUAGUGUCAAAUGGAGGGCAUUGUCAGGUAGGAAAAGGCCAUUAGAUACAAACUGGGGCAGUGUCAGGUAGGAAAAACUCAUUUCUGAUAGACAUGGGGGGGCAGUGUCAGGUAGGAAAAGGCCAUUAGUGACAAAUAGGGGGCAGUGUCAGGUAGGAAAAGGCCAUUUGUGAUAAAUGGGGGGCUGUUUCAGGUAGGAAAAGGCCAUUUGUGAUAGACACGGGGGGCAGUGUCAGGUAGGAAAAGGCCAUCAGAGAGAAAUGGGGGCAGUGUCAGUUAGGAAAAACUCAUUUGUGAUAGACACGGGGGGCAGUGUCACGUAGGAAAAGGCCAUUAGUGACAAAUGGGGGAGCAGUGUCAAAUAUGAAAAGGCCAUUUGUGCUAAAUGGGGGGCAGUUUCAGGUAAGAAAAGGCCAUUUGUGAUAGACAUGGGGGGCCGUGUGAGGUAGAAAAAGGCCAUUAGUGACAAAUGGGGGGCCGUGUAAGGUAGGAAAAGGCCAUUAGUGACAAAUGUGGGGCAGUGUCAAGUAGGAAAAGGCCAUUGGAGACAAAUGGGCGGCAGUGUCAGGUAGGAAAAGGCCAUUUGUGAUAAAUGGGGGGCUGUUUCAGGUAGGAAAAGGCCAUUUGUGAUAAAUGGGGGCCUGUUUCAGGUAGGAAAGGGCCAUUUGUGCUAAAUGGGGGGCAGUGUCAGGUAGGAAAAGGCCAUUAGAGAGAAAUGGGGGCAGUGUCAGUUAGGAAAAACUCAUUUGUGAUAGACACGGGGGGCAGUGUCACGUAGGAAAAGGCCAUUAGUGACAAAUGGGGGAGCAGUGUCAAAUAUGAAAAGGCCAUUUGUGCUAAAUGGGGGGCAGUUUCAGGUAAGAAAAGGCCAUUUGUGAUAGACAUGGGGGGCCGUGUGAGGUAGAAAAAGGCCAUUAGUGACAAAUGGGGGGCCGUGUAAGGUAGGAAAAGGCCAUUAGUGACAAAUGUGGGGCAGUGUCAAGUAGGAAAAGGCCAUUGGAGACAAAUGGGCGGCAGUGUCAGGUAGGAAAAGGCCAUUAGUGACAAAUGGGGGGCAGUUUCAGGUAGGAAAAGGCCAUUUGUGAUAGACACGGGGGGCAGUGUCAGGUAGGAAAAGGCCAUUUGUGAUAGACAUGGGGGGCCGUGUGAGGUAGGAAAAGGCCAUUAGUGACAAAUGGGGGGCCGUGUCAGGAAAAGGCCAUUGGAGACAAAUGGGCGGCAGUUUCAGGUAGGAAAAGGCCAUUUGUGAUAGACAUGGGGGGCUGUGUCAGGUAGGAAAAGGCCAUUAGUGACAAAUGGGGGAGCAGUGUCAAGUAGGAAAAGGCCAUUAGUGACAAAUGGGGGGCAGUGUCAAGUAGGAAAAGGUCAUUAGUGACAAAUGGGCGGCAGUGUCAGGUAGGAAAAAGCCAUUAGUGACACAUGGGGGAACAGUGUCAAAUAGGAAAAGGCCAUUUGUGCUAAAUGGGGGGCAGUUUCAGGUAGGAAAAGGCCAUUAGUGACAAAUGGGGGGCAGUUUCAGGUAGGAAAAGGCCAUUUGUGAUAGACACAGGGGGCAGUGUCAGGUAGGAAAAGGCCAUUAGUGACAAACGGGGGGGCAGUGUCAGGAAAAGGCCAUUGGAGACAAAUGGGCGGCAGUUUCAGGUAGGAAAAGGCCAUUUGUGAUAGACACAGGGGGCCGUGUCAGGUAGGAAAAGGCCAUUAGUGACAAACGGGGGGGCAGUGUCAGGAAAAGGCCAUUGGAGACAAAUGGGCGGCAGUUUCAGGUAGGAAAAGGCCAUUUGUGAUAGACAUGGGGGGCUGUGUCAGGUAGGAAAAGGCCAUUAGUGACAAAUGGGGGAGCAGUGUCAAGUAGGAAAAGGCCAUUAGUGACAAAUGGGGGGCAGUGUCAAGUAGGAAAAGGUCAUUAGUGACAAAUGGGCGGCAGUGUCAGGUAGGAAAAAGCCAUUAGUGACACAUGGGGGAACAGUGUCAAAUAGGAAAAGGCCAUUUGUGCUAAAUGGGGGGCAGUUUCAGGUAGGAAAAGGCCAUUAGUGACAAAUGGGGGGCAGUGUGAGGUAGGAAAAGGCCAUUAGUGACAAAUGGGGGGCCGUGUCAAGUAGGAAAAGGCCAUUAGUGACAAAUGAGGGGCAGUGUGAGGUAGGAAAAGGCCAUUAAUGCCAAAUGUGGGGGCAGUGUCAAGUAGGAAAAGGCCAUUAGUGACAAAUGGGGGACAGUGUCAGGUAGGAAAAGGCCAUUUGUGAUAGACGUGGGGGGCCAUGUCAGGUAGGAAACGGCCAUUAGUGACAAAUGGGGGGCAGUGUGAGGUAGGAAAAGGCCAUUGGAGACAAAUGGGCGGCAGUGUCAGGUAGGAAAAGGCCAUUUGUGAUAAAUGGGGGGCUGUUUCAGGUAGGAAAGGGCCAUUUGUGAUAGACAUGGGGGACAGUGUCAGGUAGGAAAAGGCCAUUAGUGACAAAUGUGGGGCAGUGUCAAGUAGGAAAAGGCCAUUGGAGACAAAUGGGCGGCAGUGUCAGGUAGGAAAAGGCCAUUUGUGAUAAAUGGGGGGCUGUUUCAGGUAGGAAAGGGCCAUUUGUGAUAGACAUGGGGGACAGUGUCAGGUAGGAAAAGGCCAUUAGUGACAAAUGUGGGGCAGUGUCAAGUAGGAAAAGGCCAUUGGAGACAAAUGGGCGGCAGUGUCAGGUAGGAAAAGGCCAUUUGUGAUAAAUGGGGGGCUGUUUCAGGUAGGAAAGGGCCAUUUGUGAUAGACAUGGGGGACAGUGUCAGGUAGGAAAAGGCCAUUAGUGACAAAUGUGGGGCAGUGUCAAGUAGGAAAAGGCCAUUGGAGACAAAUGGGCGGCAGUGUCAGGUAGGAAAAGGCCAUUUGUGAUAAAUGGGGGGCUGUUUCAGGUAGGAAAGGGCCAUUUGUGAUAGACAUGGGGGACAGUGUCAGGUAGGAAAAGGCCAUUAGUGACAAAUGUGGGGCAGUGUCAAGUAGGAAAAGGCCAUUGGAGACAAAUGGGCGGCAGUGUCAGGUAGGAAAAGGCCAUUUGUGAUAAAUGGGGGGCUGUUUCAGGUAGGAAAGGGCCAUUUGUGAUAGACAUGGGGGACAGUGUCAGGUAGGAAAAGGCCAUUAGUGACAAAUGUGGGGCAGUGUCAAGUAGGAAAAGGCCAUUGGAGACAAAUGGGCGGCAGUGUCAGGUAGGAAAAGGCCAUUAGUGACAAAUGGGGGGCAGUUUCAGGUAGGAAAAGGCCAUUUGUGAUAGACACGGGGGGCAGUGUCAGGUAGGAAAAGGCCAUUAGUGACAAAUGGGGGGGCAGUGUCAAGUAGGAAAAGGCCAUUAGAGAAAAUGGAGGCACUGUCAGGUAGGAAAAACUCAUUUGUGAUAGAUAUGGGGGGCAGUGUCAUGUAGGAAAAGACCACUAGUGACAAAUGGGGGGGCAGUGUCAGGUAGGAAAAGGUCAUUAGUGACAAUUGGGCGGCAGUGUCAGGUAGGAAAAAGCCAUUAGUGACACAUGGGGGAACAGUGUCAAAUAGGAAAAGGCCAUUUGUGAUAAAUGGGGGGCAGUUUUAGGUAGGAAAAGGCCAUUUGUGAUAGACACAGGGGGCCGUGUCAGGUAGGAAAAAGCCAUUAGUGACACAUGGGGGAACAGUGUCAAAUAGGAAAAGGCCAUUUGUGAUAAAUGGGGGGCAGUUUUAGGUAGGAAAAGGCCAUUUGUGAUAGACACAGGGGGCCGUGUCAGGUAGGAAAAAGCCAUUAGUGACACAUGGGGGAACAGUGUCAAAUAGGAAAAGGCCAUUUGUGAUAAAUGGGGGGCAGUUUUAGGUAGGAAAAGGCCAUUUGUGAUAGACACAGGGGGCCGUGUCAGGUAGGAAAAAGCCAUUAGUGACACAUGGGGGAACAGUGUCAAAUAGGAAAAGGCCAUUUGUGAUAAAUGGGGGGCAGUUUUAGGUAGGAAAAGGCCAUUUGUGAUAGACACAGGGGGCCGUGUCAGGUAGGAAAAGGCCAUCAGAGAGCAAUGGAGGCAGUGUCAGUUAGGAAAAACUCAUUUGUGAUAGACAUGGGGAGCAGUGUCAGGUAGGAAAAGGCCAUUAGUGACAAAUGGGGAGCAGUGUCAAAUAGGAAAAGGCCAUUAGUGACAAAUGGGGGUGCAGUGUCAAAUAGGAAAAGGCCAUUUGUGCUAAAUGGGGGGCAGUUUAAGGUAGAAAAAGGCCAUUUGUGAUAGACAUUGGGGGCCGUGUGAGGUAGGAAAAGGCCAUUAGUGACAAAUGUGGGGCCGUGUCAGGUAGGAAAAGGCCAUUAGUGACAAAAGUGUCAAGUAGGAAAAGGCCAUUAGUGACAAAUGGGCGGCAGUGUCAGGUAGGAAAAGGCCAUUUGUGAUAAAUGGGGGCAGUGUCAGGAAAAACUCAUUUGUGAUAGAUAUGGGGAGCAGUGUCAGGUAGGAAAAGGCCAUUAAUGCCAAAUGUGGGGGCAGUGUCAAGUAGGAAAAGGCCAUUAAUGCCAAAUGUGGGGGCAGUGUCAGGUAGGAAAAGGCCAUUUGGGAUAGACACGGGGGGCCGUGUCAGGUAGGAAAAGGCCAUUAGUGACAAAUGGGGGAGCAGUGUCAAAUAGGAAAAGGCCAUUUGUGCUAAAUGGGGGGCAGUUUCAGGUAAGAAAAGGCCAUUUAUGAUAGACAUGGGGGGCCAUGUCAGGUAGGAAACGGCCAUUAGUAACAAAUGGGGGGCAGUUUCAGGUAGGAAAAGGCCAUUUGUGAUAGACACAGGGGGGCCUUGUCAGGUAGGAAAAGGCCAUUAGUGACAAAUGGGGGAGCAGUGUCAAGUAGGAAAAGGCCAUUAGUGACAAAUGGGGGGCAGUGUCAGGUAGGAAAAGGCCAUUGGAGACAAAUGGGGGAGCAGUGUCAAAUAUGAAAAGGCCAUUUGUGCUAAAUGGGGGGCAGUUUCAGGUAAGAAAAGGCCAUUUGUGAUAGACAUGGGGGGCCGUGUGAGGUAGGAAAAGGCCAUUAAUGACAAAUGGGGGGUCGUGUGAGGUAGGAAAA